UACGAAGGGUGCAAACGUUGCUCGGAAUCAUUGGGCGUAAAGCGCACGUAGGCGGCCUUGCAAGUCGGAUGUGAAAUCCCACGGCUCAACCGUGGACGUGCAUCCGAAACUGCUCGGCUCGAGUAUGGAAGAGGGUCGCGGAAUUCCCGGUGUAGAGGUGAAAUUCGUAGAUAUCGGGAGGAACACCAGUGGCGAAGGCGGCGAUCUGGGAACAUACUGACGCUGAGGUGCGAAAGCGUGGGGAGCAAACAGG
rnacentral:rRNA from 1 species